rnacentral:tRNA from 1 species
GCGGAAAUGGCGGAAUGGCAGACGCUGCGGUCUUAAACACCGCUGGGCUUACGCCCGUGCGGGUUCGACUCCCGCUUUCCGCA